AUUGAACGCUGGCGGCAGGCCUAACACAUGCAAGUCGAGCGGAUGAGGAAAGCUUGCUUUUCGAUUCAGCGGCGGACGGGUGAGUAAUGCCUAGGAAUCUGCCUGUUAGUGGGGGAUAACUCGGGGAAACUCGGGCUAAUACCGCAUACGUCCUACGGGAGAAAGUGGGGGAUCUUCGGACCUCACGCUAACAGAUGAGCCUAGGUCGGAUUAGCUAGUAGGUGAGGUAAUGGCUCACCAAGGCUACGACGGAUAGCUGGUCUGAGAGGAUGAUCAGCCACACUGGAACUGAGACACGGUCCAGACUCCUACGGGAGGCAGCAGUGGGGAAUCUUGCGCAAUGGACGAAAGUCUGACGCAGCGACGCCGCGUGGGUGACGAAGGCCUUCGGGUUGUAAAGCCCUGUGGGGUGAGACGAACAGCUGGGGUUCGAAUAGGGCCUCGGUCUGACGGUAUCACCUUAGCAAGCACCGGCUAACUCUGUGCCAGCCGCCGCCGUAA
rnacentral:rRNA from 1 species